GUCUCUGUAGUAUAUUAAUUACGCUGGUCUUGUAAACCAGAAAAGGGGAAUGAAUCUUCCCCCAAAGACU
rnacentral:tRNA from 1 species